rfam:Paenibacillus polymyxa SC2, complete genome.
CACAUGCUGUAACCGCUCCAAUCAGGUACUGAAGUGCAGUAUCCUAAGGAAACUGCCACCUGCAAUUAGGCGAGUCUGAGACAUAAG